GCGCCGGUGGGGCGCGACCGCGGCGCUGGCGGCGCUCGUGGCGCUGCUGGCGCUGCUCUCGCUCGGCACCGGGCCGGUGCG
rnacentral:tRNA from 1 species